AAUACAUCGGAACGUGCCUAGUAGUGGGGGAUAACUACUCGAAAGAGUGGCUAAUACCGCAUGAGAUCUACGGAUGAAAGCAGGGGAUCGCAAGACCUUGUGCUACUAGAGCGGCCGAUGGCAGAUUAGGUAGUUGGUGGGAUAAAAGCUUACCAAGCCGACGAUCUGUAGCUGGUCUGAGAGGACGAUCAGCCACACUGGGACUGAGACACGGCCCAGACUCCUACGGGAGGCAGCAGUGGGGAAUUUUGGACAAUGGGCGCAAGCCUGAUCCAACAAUGCCGCGUGCAGGAUGAAGGCCUUCGGGUUGUAAACUGCUUUUGUACGGAACGAAAAGCCCUGGGUUAAUACCCUGGGGUCAUGACGGUACCGUAAGAAUAAGCACCGGCUAACUACGUGCCAGCAGCCGCGGUAAUACGUAGGGUGCGAGCGUUAAUCGGAAUUACUGGGCGUAAAGCGUGCGCAGGCGGUUUUGUAAGACAGAGGUGAAAUCCCCGGGCUCAACCUGGGAACUGCCUUUGUGACUGCAAGGCUAGAGUACGGCAGAGGGGGAUGGAAUUCCGCGUGUAGCAGUGAAAUGCGUAGAUAUGCGGAGG
rnacentral:rRNA from 1 species